rnacentral:rRNA from 1 species
CCUACGGGUGGCAGCAGUGGGGGAUCUUGCACAAUGGGGGAAACCCUGAUGCAGCGACGCCGCGUGGGUGAAGAAGCGCCUCGGCGCGUAAAGCCCUGUCAGCAGGGAAGCAAAUGACGGUACCUGAAGAAGAAGCCCCGGCUAACUACGUGCCAGCAGCCGCGGUAAUACGGAGGGGGCAAGCGUUAUCCGGAUUUACUGGGUGUAAAGGGGGCGCAGACGGCGAUGCAAGCCAGGAGUGAAAGCCCGGGGCCCAACCCCGGGACUGCUCUUGGAACUGCGUGGCUAGAGUGCAGGAGGGGCAAGCGGAAUUCCUGGUGUAGCGGUGAAAUGCGUAGAUAUCAGGAGGAACACCGGUGGCGAAGGCGGCCUGCUGGACUGCAACUGACGUUGAGGCCCGAAAGCGUGGGGAGCAAACAGGAUUAGAUACCCGAGUAGUC